AUGAUAGCAUAUAUACUAAAACCAGAAUGACACCAGGAAGAUUAACAUGGCUCCCAUGCAAAGAAGAUAUGAAAAUUUAUGAAUCUUUCUUAUUUUCU
rnacentral:snRNA from 1 species